rnacentral:tRNA from 1 species
GAUAAGAUGCCUGAAUAAAAGGGCUAUUUUGAUAGAAUAGAUCAUGUAAAAAUUUACUCUUAUUA